GCCCAGGUGGCGGAAUAGGUAGACGCACCGCACUCAAAAUGCGGCGGGGUAACCCCCCAUGCCGGUUCGAUUCCGGCUCUGGGCACCA
rnacentral:tRNA from 1 species